UACGGAGGGAGCUAGCGUUGUUCGGAAUUACUGGGCGUAAAGCGCACGUAGGCGGCUUUGUAAGUUAGAGGUGAAGGCCCGGGGCUCAACCCCGGAAUUGCCUUUAAGACUGCAUCGCUUGAACAUCGGAGAGGUAAGUGGAAUUCCGAGUGUAGAGGUGAAAUUCGUAGAUAUUCGGAAGAACACCAGUGGCGAAGGCGACUUACUGGACGAUUGUUGACGCUGAGGUGUGAAAGCGUGGGGAGCAAACAGG
rnacentral:rRNA from 1 species